AGUACAGUGAUAUUUACAGUACAGUGAUUUAUAGAAAAUUUGAAAAUGUAAAAAUGCACGAACUACAGGUAAUAUGUAAAAUUGCAGUUUACUUAUAACUUUUAGUACUAUCUAGUUUGUUUUUGUAUCUUCUUAUAUCGCUGCUUGGCAUUGACAGUGGCACACACUCAAGAAAUGUAAAUUCUCGAAGGAAUGCUUUUAAAAAUUUAAAAAGAAAUCUUCGUACGUCAUUUCAAAGAUAUUAUAAGGCUGACUUAACGCGAGAUAUGCCGAUAUUCGCGAAAGCAGUACAACCUUCCACUUUUAGCGUCACAAAACAAAAACGAGCUAACAGUUGUUGUAAAACUAUGGCUUGGUUGACAGCGACAUAACUACCUUUGACGCAAAACUGCUGGAAUUAUAAGUAUGCCGUUUUACAUGAUAAAAAUAAAAACAUAAUACAAGACUUUUAUUCGAUAACAGCAACUUUGAAAUUUGUUGAGUUGUGACACUGUCAAUACUAAGCAUCGAUACAGAAAUUCCUUCAUACAUAAAAGAAAUGGUCACCAAAGAUAUUCAAAUUUGAACAACGAUAUUGGAGUGCAUCGAGUGACCAAUAAGACGUUAGAUCGCACGAGACGCAUCGCAGAUGCGCCGCGGAUAUCGAUUCGUUGCGAUAUAUCGAUUGCGCGAAACAAUUAUUGCCAGUGCAGCUGGACGCGUGAUACCUGACACAGGUUAGAAGUGUACCGAAUCGAUUUAGAGAACGUAUUCCUUCUGCGUGUACAAUGGAAAAAAGCGGCGACUCUUUUCUUCACGGUGUGUUAUUGUCCACCAGCGAGUGCAAGAUCGAACGUCGAUAAUUCAUUUCGAUGGCCGGGCGAGUGCCGCCACGCCGUGCACGCACAAUGCCGCGGUUCGCGCAGUCGAAAAAAGGUAAUUCAAGUUACACGAUCCUUUCGACCUUGUAUCCGCGUGUUCGUUGGUUGAUCGCGCGUGACCCAUGGCGUCUUCCUCUUCGCGAUGGAACGCGAGACCUCUUAUCGAGAGUCUGAUCUCGAUCGUGUCGCGGUUUUCAAGGGAAUGACCAUUUAACCUUACCAAACUCGAGGAACCAGCCUUGACGCGACGUUGACGGGUCGGUUAAAGUUUCAAAGCGAUUCUCGUUUGUAGAUUUUCCCGCGAUUUCUCUUAUCUUACGUUUUAUCUACAAUGUUACUCUUUCCAAAAGGUAUGAUCGUUUAACCUUACUAAAUCUGGAGGACAGGCAGCGCCACGAUGUCAACAUUCGAGUUGACGUCUUGCCUUGGUUAUCUCUUGCAAAUUUCACUCUGACGUGACAUAAGUUACAUUACGUGUAUUGUGUAUUGUUAUGAUUUGGCGAGGACGGUCGUUUAACCUAAAAGAGCAAGGUGGAUUUCACGAAGUUUGCCAGGAAUGCCGAAGUUUCGAAAGAAUGAUAUUAUACGAGGUUUUUCUACGAAAUACGCUAUCGAUAAUGUAUUAUUCAACGUCUGCGAUUCUUGACCACGUGAACAAGGAAUUUCGAGGACCUACAUACAUGCACAGCGUUUGUUACCUGGUUGGCAUUGCGACGUGAAAUGUUUCACAGGUAUCGAAUCGCUGAUGCAAUUGGCCAUCGGUAAUACCUUGCUCGAGGGGAAUAUACGAGAAAUACAAAUGUUGUUGGUGGAAGGGGUAGAGCAAGGAAAUGCCGCCUUUCGGUCGAGAAAAACACAAUAACGGAUGGUACCACUCUUCGCAGCGUAUUCCAUCCGAAAUGCUUGUAACCUUCCUCUUGUAGGCUGACAGACGAGAUAACGCGACGGGAGCUAAAAUAUCCACGCGAGAUGCAAAUAAAGCCGACGUAGUCCGUCACAUGUCGAUUCGUCGCUUCGACACGUGCGCGUACCGCUAUUUAUCCGUAUCCGUGAUACGUAUCGCGCUAAUCGAAGAAUAUAUUUCGCUGGCAACGAUGAAACGUUCUCGGGAUUCGAGAUCGCUGUAAUAGUUAAACAUCAAACUCGAACGUUAACCGGGAUUAUUGGAACGAUCGUAGCGUGGUCCAUUAACGACGGAGAUCUUUCUUGACCACAUACGACGGGGAUGGUGCGACACAAACAGACGAGUCAGUCACUAGGGGUACACCGUGAAACGCGAAUUCGUUCUAUUUACUCUACAGUUAAUGUUACUUGAUAAAGAUAUACCAAACUAACAAGAAACAUAAAUAAAUCAAUGCAAAUGUUUAUUUUUCGAAUAUUUUUAGAAGCAACUAUAAAC